rnacentral:rRNA from 1 species
GAUGAACGCUGGCGGCGUGCCUAAUACAUGCAAGUCGAGCGAACGGACGAGAAGCUUGCUUCUCUGAUGUUAGCGGCGGACGGGUGAGUAACACGUGGAUAACCUACCUAUAAGGCUGGGAUAACUUCGGGAAACCGUAGCUAAUACCGGAUAAUAUUUUGAACCGCAUGGCUCAAAAGUGAAAGACGGUCUUGCUGUCACUUAUAGAUGGAUCCGCGCUGCAUUAGCUAGUUGGUAAGGUAACGGCUUACCAAGGCAACGAUGCAUAGCCGACCUGAGAGGGUGAUCGGCCACACUGGAACUGAGACACGGUCCAGACUCCUACGGGAGGCAGCAGUAGGGAAUCUUCCGCAAUGGGCGAAAGCCUGACGGAGCAACGCCGCGUGAGUGAUGAAGGUCUUCGGAUCGUAAAACUCUGUUAUUAGGGAAGAACAUAUGUGUAAGUAACUGUGCACAUCUUGACGGUACCUAAUCAGAAAGCCACGGCUAACUACGUG